ACGAUAAGUUUUAUUAUUACUGCUGUUUGAAAAUAAAAACUAUUGGUACAUAUCGGUACGUAUUUACUUCCUCGUAAGCGUCUACGAUUCGAUGGUAUAUUUCGAAGGACGAACGUUUAUGGAGACGAUAAAAAUGAUGUUCCGUCCGUAAGAGAGGAAAAAAAAAGAAAGAAAAAACCAACGCGAUUCAAACGAAAUCGAUCGUUACGUAACGCAAGAACGCAAAGACAUGCGUAGGCAUGGAAAGCGGGAAAGUUUCUCUGACAAUGAGCUCGAUCCCUGGCAACCAGUGUGGCGCGCCUCUCUAGACCUCGUUUCGCUCCACGUACCGUUAACUCGAUCGAAAUAAAAUGAAUCCUAGGGGUAUGACAUGUUAUAGGUGGAUAUAGGACGAUUCGGACGGAUGCACAAGAGAGAAAGAGAGAUAAAAAGCCGACGAAAUGUGAGAAAAUCGCCGCGAGUGCUACUCGUCCUACUGUGCAUGUACGUUCGUAAACCUAGAAAUAACGGUCCCUCCCUCCCUCUCUCUCUCUCUCUCUCUCUCUCUCUCGGAAGCUGGACGAAGUAGAUUGAAACCAUUCGUGUACAAAGAAGAGUACAAAGAAGAGUAUUGUCUCGCAAUUUCUCCGGGGAUCUAUUCUUUUAUUUACACUCCGAAAAAAGCGAGAUCUCGCCGAAAUUCGAUGAGAAAAUGAAAUGGGAGAAGAAAAAAUUAAAAAGGGCAACAGGAAGAACAAAAAAAAAAGAAAAAAAUUAUAUUACGGCUAACUUAAGGAGGAAGAUAAAUUAAAGACGGAGAAUGAAAAGGAGGUCACCACUUAGCUGCGGACGAAUUUCUAAAAGCUCCAACGAACGAGGGAGGGAGAAGAGAGAAGGGGUCAAUUGAUUUCAUUGAAAAAGACGAAAACGACGAAAGCUCCUACCACCGAGAAGCAUCUAAUUUUCUCGCAAGUACCACUCGACGACGAGAUUAUCGUAGAUAAAAGCCAAGUGGUUCCUCUGUCACCGUGCAUAAAACAGCGUUCCCAAGAGCGCUUAUCGUUUCGAAAGAAAUCUACCGAAACCUUUGAUACUCUUCUACUCUCUUGAAAGAUAUCAAUAAUAUCCAUUUACAUCGACUCUUUCUACUUGCAAAUAAACUUGUUAUAACGAUAGAGAAAACAAUAUACAUGUGCGUGUGUAUAGAUAUGUAUAUAUAGAUAUAGAUAUUUCUUGUUGAACUUAGCUACCCGUUAUAAAAUCUUAUCGAAAAACUUACCCAAGUUCGAUGGUAUCCAGCGUUGCAGGAGGAAUAAGAGUCGAUCGACUUAGCGAGGAUUCGAUGCGAGCGCAUACGAUUUAUCGAUGAUACGUAAUAUUAAAAUUUAUAGGGAAAUGAUAAGCGCACGCAUAAGCGCGUAAUCCGAAACACAAAGACUAGCGGUGUUAGCGCACACGUGUACGUACGUAGCUUGGAUGAAUUUUUCACUUUCACCGAUCGACGAGCGAGCGAACGAACCGCGGCUCGCUGCUAGUCUUAUCCGUAUGCUACGGUUGAACGAAAUUGAACAAGAAAAUCGUUGAAACAUUCGCGAGAGAUCGAGGUGUGACCGAGUUUUCCAACGACAAAUCAUCAUCUCUCCUUCUCAAGAAUUUUCUUCGAUCGUUUCCUUCAGUCGAAUAAUAUAAUGAUAAAAUCUACUGUAAGAUAUUUAGACCGCAGGAGAAUGAAAAGAAAGAGAAGACAUAUCGUGAUAUCUUCCUCAUACGAGAGGAAGAGAGAAUCAAAAAGAAGACGCGAACUUGGCGAGAGUUCCUGCGGAACUGAUCACGGAAGUUCCGCACGAAACGCGCGACUGCUCUCUCCCA